UACGGGGGGGGUAAGCGUUGUUCGGAAUUACUGGGCGUAAAGGGCUCGUAGGCGGACAACUAAGUCAUACGUGAAAUCCCUCAGCUUAACUGGGGAACUGCGUGUGAUACUGGAUGGCUUGGAUUUGGGAGAGGGAUGCGGAAUUCCAGGUGUAGCGGUGAAAUGCGUAGAUAUCUGGAGGAACACCGGUGGCGAAGGCGGCAUCCUGGACCAAUAUUGACGCUGAGGAGCGAAAGCCAGGGGAGCAAACGGG
rnacentral:rRNA from 1 species